rnacentral:rRNA from 1 species
AUACCCAGGUAGUCCACGCCGUAAACGAUGAGUGCUAAGUGUUAGAGGGUUUCCGCCCUUUAGUGCUGAGGUUAACGCAUUAAGCACUCCGCCUGGGGAGUACGGCCGCAAGGCUGAAACUCAAAGGAAUUGACGGGGGCCCGCACAAGCGGUGGAGCAUGUGGUUUAAUUCGAAGCAACGCGAAGAACCUUACCAGGUCUUGACAUCCUCUGACAACCCUAGAGAUAGGGCUUCUCCUUCGGGGGCAGAGUGACAGGUGGUGCAUGGUUGUCGUCAGCUCGUGUCGUGAGAUGUUGGGUUAAGUCCCGCAACGAGCGCAACCCUUGAUCUUAGUUGCCAUCAUUAAGUUGGGCACUCUAAGGUGACUGCCGGUGACAAACCGGAGGAAGGUGGGGAUGACGUCAAAUCAUCAUGCCCCUUAUGACCUGGGCUACACACGUGCUACAAUGGACGGUACAAAGAGCUGCAAGACCGCGAGGUGGAGCUAAUCUCAUAAAACCGUUCUCAGUUCGGAUUGUAGG